rnacentral:rRNA from 1 species
UACGAAGGGUGCAAACGUUGCUCGGAAUUAUUGGGCGUAAAGCGCACGUAGGCGGCUUAGCAAGUCGGAAGUGAAAGCCCUUGGCUCAACCAAGGAAGUGCUUUCGAAACUGCUGAGCUUGAGUAGUUAAGAGGAUCGCGGAAUUCCCGGUGUAGAGGUGAAAUUCGUAGAUAUCGGGAGGAAUACCAGUGGCGAAGGCGGCGACCUGGGCCAAUACUGACGCUGAGGUGCGAAAGCGUGGGGAGCAAGCAGG